rnacentral:rRNA from 1 species
UUGACCUCGGAUCAGGUAGGACUACCCGCUGAACUUAAGCAUAUCAAUAAGCGGAGGAAAAGAAACCAACAGGGAUUGCCCCAGUAACGGCGAGUGAAGCGGCAACAGCUCAUAUUUGAAAUCUGGCCCUCG